rnacentral:antisense_RNA from 1 species
CUUGAGCGAGCCCAGCCAGAGUGGCUCCUGGCGAUCCUGACCGUAGGUGGCCAGCAGUGCCUGGGCCUC